UACGUAGGUGGCAAGCGUUGUCCGGAAUUAUUGGGCGUAAAGCGCGCGCAGGUGGUUUCUUAAGUCUGAUGUGAAAGCCCACGGCUCAACCGUGGAGGGUCAUUGGAAACUGGGGAACUUGAGUGCAGAAGAGGAAAGUGGAAUUCCAAGUGUAGCGGUGAAAUGCGUAGAGAUUUGGAAGAACACCAGUGGCGAAGGCGACUCACUGGCCCGAUACUGACGCUGAGGCGCGAAAGCGUGGGGAGCAAACAGG
rnacentral:rRNA from 1 species